CACGUAGGGCGCGAGCGUUGUCCGGAAUUAUUGGGCGUAAAGAGCUCGUAGGCGGUCUGUCGCGUCGGGAGUGAAAUCCACUGGCUUAACUGGUGGCUUGCUUUCGAUACGGGCAGACUGGAGGUAUGCAGGGGAGAACGGAAUUCCUGGUGUAGUGGUGAAAUGCGCAGAUAUCAGGAGGAACACCGGUGGCGAAGGCGGGUCUCUGGGCCGAUACUGACGCUGAGGAGCGAAAGCGUGGGGAGCAAACAGG
rnacentral:rRNA from 1 species